AUCGAACGCUGGCGGCAGGCCUAACACAUGCAAGUCGAACGCGUGGCGGACGGGUGAGUAAUGUCUGGGAACCUGCCUGAAGGAGGGGGAUAACUACUGGAAACGGUAGCUAUUACCCCUUACCAUCAGAUUUUCCCAGACGGGAUUAGCUAGUUGGUGGGGUAACGGCUCACCAAGGCGACGAUCCAUAGCUGGUCUGAGAGGUUGAACAGCCACACUGGAACUGAGACACGAUCCAGACUCCUACGGGAGGCAGCAGUGGGGAAUAUUGCACAAUGGGCGCAAGCCUGAUGCAGCCAUGCCGCGUGUGUGAAGAAGGCCUUCGGGUUGUAAAGUACUGUCAGAGGAGAGGCGUUACCCGCAGAGGAAGCAACGGCUAACUCCGUGCCAGCAGCCGCGGUAAUUC
rnacentral:rRNA from 1 species